AUGGAGCUUCAAGAGGAAAGCUCUGAUGUCGGGGCUUUGGUCUCAGCACCAUCAAGGAACCUGUCAUCCUCUUCCUCCACAUUUGUUUCUGCCAACCAGUCACCUUUCUUCACACCACGGUCACUGUCUGCUCGUCGCCCGGAGCAUGCUCAUGUCCAGCACAAUAACUCCCCGACUGGUAUCGCACUGAAAAUCGGUGAUAUUCUUUCCAGUGACACUCUGGUGCAGCAGCGGCAGUUACCAUCAGCCAGCAUAAGGUUAUUGCUAGACGAUGCUUCUCCUCCUCCCAGCCUUUGCACUUCAAGUAAUUUUGGAACUCCAGCAAUUGUCUAUAACAAUCCCAGCUUCAUUUCCACCUUCAAUGGCCCAUACCAAGGUAGUUCAUCAGCGACUCCGACUAGCAAUUGUGAUCGUUCAACUCGAAAGGAGAAACAGAAGAGACAGGUGGGAGUAUAUCGGAAAUCUUCGUCCUCUCAACCUACGCCAUCAGCAGCUUCUGUCAGUAGGCUUCGGACCUAUGAUGUGUACAUAGGGUUUCAUGGCCGCAAGGCUUCACUGCUGAGGUUCACAAAUUGGCUUCGUGCAGAACUUGAGAUUCAUGGAAUCAGUUGCUUUGCUUCUGAUCGGGCCAGGUGUCGGAAUUCACACAGCCAUGAUGCUGUUGAGAGGGUAAUGAAUGCUUCCACAUAUGGAAUUGUCAUCCUUACAAAGAAGUCAUUUGGCAAUCCUUAUACCAUUGAGGAGCUCAGGAACUUCUUUGGCAAGAAAAAUCUGAUCCCUAUAUUCUUUGACUUGAGUGCUGCUGAUUGCCUUGCCAGAGAUAUCAUAGAGAAGAGAGGAGAACUGUGGGAAAAACAUGGCGGUGAGCUGUGGAUGUUAUAUGGUGGAAUGGAGAAUGAAUGGAGGGAAUCAGUUGAUGCUCUUUCUCGGGUGGUAGAUGUGCAGUUAGAAGCGAAUGAUACCAAUUGGAGAGCCUCCAUACUGCAAGCAGUUAUCCUUUUGGCCACGAAAUUAGGUAGGAGAAGUGUGGUUGAUCGGGUGAAUAGGUGGAGAUUGAGGGUGGAGAAAGAUGAAUUUCCUUUCCCUCGCAAUGGUGAUUUCGUCGGGAGGAAAAAGGAGCUCUCGGAGUUGGAGCUCAUUUUGUUUGGUGAUGUCAGUGGGGAAGGGGAAAAGAAGUAUUUUGAGCUCAAGACAAAACACAGAAGAAAAGGCCCUGUGAGUGGCUGGUCUGCUGACAAUUAUGAGCAACUAAAUGCAGAUACCAUCAAGGGAAAGGAACCAGUUUUGUGGAAGGAGACUGAGGAAGGCAUUGAGAUGCAGAGACUGGGCACUCCACUGCAGCAUGGCCGACAGCCGAGAGUGAAGAAUGGUGGGAGAUAUGGAAGGAAGAAAAAAACUAGGAAGAUACUCUAUGGAAAGGGCAUUGCUUGCAUAUCAGGGGAAUCUGGAAUGGGCAAGACAGACUUGGCUUUGGAGUACGCAUACAGGUUCUCCCAGAGAUAUAAGAUGAUUUUGUGGGUCAGAGGGGAGAGCAGAUACAUUCGACAUAAUUAUUUGUCUUUGCGGACUCAUUUGGAAGUAGAUUUAAGUGUUGAUACUCGCUUGCAUGAGAAAGGAAGUGACCGAUGCUUUGAGGAACAGGAAGAGGAAGCCAUUGCCAAGAUAAGACAAGAACUGAUGCGGGACAUACCGUAUUUAGUUAUCAUUGAUAAUCUGGAGAGUGAGAAGGACUGGUGGGAUAAGAGAGUCAUAAUGGACCUUCUCCCACAAUUUGGUGGAGAGACUCACUUCAUCAUAACAACACGCCUUCCACGGGUGAUGAACUUGGAGCCAAUGAAGCUUUCUUAUUUAUCUGGUGCUGAGGCAAUGACUUUGAUGAAGGGGGCUGUCAAGGAAUACCCGCUAAUGGAAAUUGAUGCGCUCAAGGUCAUUGAAGAAAAGCUUGGGAGGCUCACUCUUGGCCUAGGUAUUGUUGGAGCUAUACUCUCGGAGCUUCCAAUUACUCCAAGCAGGCUUCUUGACACGUUGAAUCGGCCAUCGCCCAUAAGAGAUUUUUCUUGGAAUGACAGAGAAGUAAUCAGCUUGAAAAAUCAUGAAAUCCUUGUUAGACUCCUGGAUGUCUGCCUAUCUAUAUUUGAGCAUGCAGAUGGCCCCAGGAGUCUGGCAAUUCGUAUGGUUCAAGUGAGUGGUUGGUUUGCACCAUCUGCAGUUCCAAUUCAUAUGUUGGCUCUGGCUGCACAUAAAAUCCCAAAGAAGCAUCGGAGGGGUCCAAGGUGGAGGAAGUGGUGGCGAGCACUAACUUGUGGCCUUGCAACUUCUAGGAUGCAGAGAUCUGAAGCAGAAGCAGCUGCAAUGUUGAUGAGGUUUGGAAUUGCCAGGUGCAGCGCAAAGUCUGAGUAUAUCCAGUUCCAUGAUAUGAUCAGGCUAUAUGCUCGCAAGCGAGGAGGCACAAGAACGGCUCAAGCUGCAGUCCAAUCAGUGUACCUCCGAGGAUCAAUUAAACAUUCUUCUGAGCACCUAUGGGCUGCCUGCUUCAUGGCUUUUGGAUUUGGUUCUGAUCCUUUUCUGGUAGAACUGAGGCCAUCUGAGUUGAUGUUCUUCGUGAAGCAGAUUGUCGUGCCACUUGCGAUAAACACAUUCAUCACAUAUUCCCGAUGCAAUGCUGCCCUGGAGCUGCUGCGCCUGUGCACUGACGCAUUGGAGCGUGCAGCUGAAUCCAUGCUCUCCCAUGCUGGCAAAUGGAGGGAAACAUCAAUCUCCUGCUUUAGGCCAGUUCAGUCAGAAGCCCAGUAUACCUAUCUUUGGCAGGAGCUGGCUCUUCUGAAAGCUUCUGUACUAGAAACACGGGCGAAGCUGAUGCUCCGAGGCGGACAGUAUGGCAUCGGGGAUGACCUGAUACGGAAGGCCAUAUUCAUCCGCACUUCCAUCUGCGGCGAGCACCACCCCGACACGGGUUCUACCAAUAUAUGUUGGCUUUGGAGCAAAGCUACUCUGUUGUUGUUACUAGAUUGUACUAGUACUUCCAACUGCAUGCACAGAAGACUUUGA
rnacentral:rRNA from 1 species